UUUCCAUAGGUGAACCUGCGGAAGGAUCAUUACUGAGUGAGGGCCCCUCGGGGUCCAACCUCCCACCCGUGUUUAACGAACCUUGUUGCUUCGGCGGGCCCGCCUCACGGCCGCCGGGGGGCAUCUGCCCCCGGGCCCGCGCCCGCCGAAGCCACCUGUGAACGCUGUCUGAAGUAUGCAGUCUGAGACAAUUAUUAAAUUAAUUAAAACUUUCAACAACGGAUCUCUUGGUUCCG
rnacentral:misc_RNA from 1 species